rnacentral:rRNA from 1 species
UACGUAGGGUGCAAGCGUUGUCCGGAAUUAUUGGGCGUAAAGAGCUCGUAGGCGGUUUGUUGCGUCGGCUGUGAAAUCCCGAGGCUCAACCUCGGGUCUGCAGUCGAUACGAGCAAACUAGAGUGUUGCAGGGGAGACUGGAAUUCCGGGUGUAGUGGUGAAAUGCGUAGAGAUCCGGAGGAACCCCAGAGGCGAAGGCGGCGCCCUGGCUCGCAACUGACGCUCAGACACGACAGCAUGGGGAGCGAACGGG